rnacentral:rRNA from 1 species
UACCAGCACCCCGAGUGGUCGGGACGUUUAUUGGGUCUAAAGCAUCCGUAGCCGGUUCUACAAGUCUUCCGUUAAAUCCACCUGCUUAACAGAUGGGCUGCGGAAGAUACUAUAGAGCUAGGAGGCGGGAGAGGCAAGCGGUACUCGAUGGGUAGGGGUAAAAUCCGUUGAUCCAUUGAAGACCACCAGUGGCGAAGGCGGCUUGCCAGAACGCGCUCGACGGUGAGGGAUGAAAGCUGGGGGAGCAAACCGG